rnacentral:rRNA from 1 species
GAUGAACGCUAGCGGCAGGCCUAAUACAUGCAAGUCGAACGGUGUCUUCGGACAUAGUGGCGCACGGGUGCGUAACACGUAUGCAACCUACCUUACAUUGGGGGAUAGCCUUUCGAAAGGGAGAUUAAUACCGCAUAAGACAGUAGCUGGGCAUCCAGCAGCUGUUAAAGAUUUAUCGAUGUAAGCUGGGCAUGCGUCCAAUUAGCUAGUUGGUGAGGUAACGGCUCACCAAGGCAAUGAUUGGUAGGGGAACUGAGAGGUCAAUCCCCCACACUGGCACGGAGAUACGGGCCAGACUCCGACGGGAGGCAGCAGUAGGGAAUAUUGGGCAAUGGACGCAAGUCUGACCCAGCCAUGCCGCGUGCAGGAUGAAGGCGUUAUGCGUUGUAAACUGCUUUUAUACAGGAAGAAACGACUCUUGCGAGAGGCAUUGACGGUACUGUAUGAAUAAGCACCGGCUAACUCCGUGCCAGCAGCCGCCGUAAAAC